CUCUAUAAAAAUGAGGACAGAGGGGAUGAGCCACAGUCACCCUAGCAGGAGAGAGGAUGUCUUACUGAUGGAAGCAUGGGUAUCAAAUGCAUAGAAUCUCUGGCCCCACAGUCUCCUAACUUCCAUCCCAUCUAUGGUCCACAUCUGCUCAUGAGCAUUACAUCCCUUCUGGAGAACUUUAGUUAGAGAAUUCCCAGGACAUUGCUCUGCAUAUCUGAAGACUCUGUUUCAGAAGGCCCCUGUGCGCAGAAUACAGAAGCUGCAGCCAGACGCCAGGGGAAGGAAGGCACUUUAAUACAAGGAAGACGAGAUGGGACUAAAAUGAUAAUUUUAAG